GGAUAGGUGCCCGGAGUGGUUUAUCGGGGGCUGGGGCUUUGGUUCCGGUCGGGUCCUUGUGGCCUUCGCAGGUUCGAAUCCUGCCCUCUCCG
rnacentral:tRNA from 1 species